rnacentral:lncRNA from 1 species
UUUCAGCGGAAUUUCCUUAAUGAUUGGCACAGUUCAUUAAGAGAAGAAACAAAACUGGAGAUACCCUUGGGGAGAGGCUGGGGGAUGGGAGGGUCAGAUCAUGGAGGUGGGAGUCCUGGCUCAAAGGAAUGUGGCUUUCACACAAUUAGGUGUUUGAAGGAAGACAGAGCUUGGACACAGCUGAAUAAUUUUGGCUAAUUGAGAUUUGCAUGGGUCAAGGACCAGAGGUCUUGCUGCUGUUAAAGCAGGACGACAUCCGUUAUGGGAUCCCUGGAUGAACAGUGGCCCAUGUGUGCCUCAGGACAAUGGAAAGUGGCGUCUCCCUGACAAAGAACAGCUUUCACGGGAGACACCCUUCCACCUUUAUCCCAGCUGGGGACUCUCCGUGGUGGAUCCGAUGGCCUCAAACUUACCCAAGUGGACUCACAUCUAAUAAGUCUCCACUGCUGUCCUUCUCUAGGAGUGAGAACUAAUGAUGCCUCCAUCCCCUGCUGUCGUGUGUUCGUCAAGGGUACUAUCUUUGUAAGAUGGGCUUCUGAGAGUCAGAGAAGCUCCCAUGAGGGCAUUCACCAUUCCAUGUUUUGGUUGUAAGAACGGCUGACCACUGCUUUAAAUGUUUUACUACAGAGAGUAUGGAUUUUUGUCUACCAGUACUGGUGUGCAAUUCAUUCAUAGUCAUUAGAGAUGCAUUGCUAUAAAGAAAUAUCUGAGACUGGAGGCCGGACGCGAUGGCUCACCUCAGGAAGCUUACAAUCCUGGCAGAAGGUGAAGGGGGAACAGGCACCUCACAUGGCAAAAGUAGGAGGGCGGGAGAGAGAGAGAGAGGUGGGGGAGGAACUACACACCUUUAAACCACCAGAUCUCCUGUGAACUGAGUGACAGCUCACUCAUCACCAAAGGGAUGGCUCAAGCCAUUCAUGAGGGAUCCACCCUCAUGAUCGAAACACCUCCCACAAGGCCCCACCUCCAACGCUGGGAAUUACAAGUCAACAUGAGAUUUGGUGAAAACAUAUGUUCAAACUAUACCACUCUCUCUCCCGGGGAUGGGAAAAACACUAAGAUGAUAAGUAUCAGUGAGGCCACUGCCAGCCCAUGUAGCACCACAGUAUGUGUUAGAAACCCCUUCCACCUGGUGGGUGCACACCUACAUCAUAGCUUGGCAAACUGAGUGUAGGCUGGAUUUCAGAUACUACUUGCCCCUGUGGCAUUCUUCUACAGGGCGCAGUCCACACAGCUGUGCACAAUAGCCCUGGCUACCAGAUCUGAAGUGGCACAAGACUGUAGAGAGGUCCUACACUCAUCAACUGUUGUUGAUGCCACUGAACUGCACAUUGUUCCAACCACAAGUUUCCUUUGGGUCCUAUGAGGCCCAGAAAUCUCUGACACGGCCGGAGUUCUCUGUAGCAUACUGAAGUUCCUCUGAGUUCUGGCUUCUUCAAUAGAUUCAUGUCCAGGCCCCUGGAGGAGCUGCAUACCUCGUCCUCUCCAGGGCAGAACCCAUGCACUUGUUUCUCAUGUCUCGCUGUCCUCAAAGACACCCCCCUUUCUGUCUUCCUCUAUCUGGACACUGAACCUCUUCCAUUAGUUGAGCAUUAGAAAAG